GGACCAAUGAUGACAACUGCCGGCGUAUGAGUGUUGGGUGAUGAAUAAUACGUGUCUAGAACUCUGAGGUCCAACAUACAAAACACCUCAAUAAGCAAGGAUCAGUGGAGGAAUAUCUAGUUUAAAAAAAAUCAUCUUCUCUUUUUUGUACUCCUCAGAGUGAUAAUCUCGAGGUGAUUUAUGCAUUCUUCCAUGGCCACCAGCCUUAUGAUUGCAUCUGUGCGUCACAGCUUAGAGAUCAAUAAUGGAUGCAACAAGCUCUUUGAAUCAUUCUGUUGGGAUCAAGAUUGUUGUGUUCCCUCUGUUUGGAAAGAGACCAAGAAUGGAUACGCUCAGGUGAUUUAAGCAGUCUUCCAUGGCCACGAGCUCUGUGGUUGCCUCUGUAUAUUAAGAGCACAGAGAUUAAAAAUGGGUGCACUUGAGCCGAUUGAAACAUUCCUCCUUGCAUCUUUCUUCUGUGAUUGCAUCUAUUUGUUAGUAGCAUAGAGACCAAUAAUAGAUGGCUUGUGCUGAUGGAAGGAUUCCUCCCUGGUGACAUGCUGUGUCUGCCUCUUGAUUGGGAGCACGCAGACCUACAAUGAUGCACUUUUUAUGAUUUGAGAAUUCCUUCAUGGUCACGUGCUCUGUUUUUAUCAUGGUUGGGAGCCUGCAGAGCAAUAAGGGACAUGCCUUUGCUGAUUUGAGGAUUCCUCUGAGGUUGGGAGCUAAGUUUGCAUCAUGCUUAGAAAGGAGUGUGCAGACCUGUAAUGAUUGCACUUUGCUGAUUGAAGGAUUCCUUCAAGUCCAUGUGCUCCACUUGCACCAUUUUUAGGAUGGAGCCUGGAGACCUAUAAUGAACAACUUGUGCUGUGUUAAGGAUUCCUCCAUGAUCACGCGCCCCAUUUGUACACCAUGCUUGGGAAGGUGCAUGCAGACCAAUGUUAGUAAUAGUCAAAAUUCCUGUGUCGGUUUGUGUGGUUUGCUAAACAGGACUCAAUGUAUCAUGAAACAGUGUAUUAUAUAGUCAACUAUGGUCAACUAUGUCCCAGUGAUAUUUAUGAGAGGGAUCUGAAGUAUUUAUUGAUAAUGCAUAUAUGAAAAACGGAGAAGAAUUAAUGAAACAGAUAUAUCUGUGUUAGAAUGAUUCUGUAUAAAGAUAGGGAAUAUCAAGUCUGUUCUUAGUGUUUUGUGAAUCACAGAGUGUAAAAUUAUUCCCAGUGAAUUAAUGAAUAAAUUUAAAGACAACAUAGAAAUGAAUGCAGAAAAAGAGGGUCAACCCU
rnacentral:lncRNA from 1 species